UACGAAGGGGGCUAGCGUUGCUCGGAAUCACUGGGCGUAAAGCGCACGUAGGCGGACUCUUAAGUCAGGGGUGAAAUCCUGGAGCUCAACUCCAGAACUGCCUUUGAUACUGAGAGCCUUGAGUUCGGGAGAGGUGAGUGGAACUGCGAGUGUAGAGGUGAAAUUCGUAGAUAUUCGCAAGAACACCAGUGGCGAAGGCGGCUCACUGGACUGGUAUUGACGCUGAGGUGCGAAAGCGUGGGGAGCAAACAGGG
rnacentral:rRNA from 1 species